GUCUACUAUUUGCAAGAAUUGCUGCGUAUUUUCUAGGAAGAAGUCCACUGCUUUAGUCCUAUUCUGAAAGGCAUUUGGUGUUAGACACAAGAGAACAGGUUCCCUGCUGACAUUUUCAGAGGCCCGUGCCCUUCGGUCUUCAGGUGAGGCUGGGCUUGAGGGAGGCUUUGUGGAACGGUGAGAAGAACAGCGUGACUAAGGCACAGAAGGCUGAGUGAUGCCCUGCAGUGCUUUUGUAGGGUUGGAGGCCAGCUGGGAAAGAAGGAACCCUUGCGUUAGAG
rnacentral:lncRNA from 1 species